UCCGUAGUUUAGUGGUAGAACUUUAGCUUCCCAAGCUAACUGUAGGGGUUCGAUUCCCCCCGGA
rnacentral:tRNA from 1 species